UACGAAGGGGGCUAGCGUUGCUCGGAAUCACUGGGCGUAAAGGGCGCGUAGGCGGCUUUAUAAGUCGGGGGUGAAAGCCUGUGGCUCAACCACAGAAUUGCCUUCGAUACUGUAGAGCUUGAGACCGGAAGAGGUAAGUGGAACUGCGAGUGUAGAGGUGAAAUUCGUAGAUAUUCGCAAGAACACCAGUGGCGAAGGCGGCUCACUGGCUCGGUACUGACGCUGAGGUGCGAAAGCGUGGGGAGCAAACAGG
rnacentral:rRNA from 1 species